GUGUGCAUGCUGUGAGCAAACUCCUCUGCCAUUCCUCUCCGCCUUGCCGUCCUGCCUGGGGGCUGCUGACUAUGGACUGAAACAUGAGCGGAAAUAAACCUCUCCCCGUGAAGUUGUGGGUGUCAGAAAACGGAAGAAAACACCAGCAAUGCACCACCAAAUGAAGCACCGGCCCACCUGGAGCCCCAAGUCAGCAGGGACAGGCUGGACACCCUGGAAGCCUGACCGAGAGGCUGGCACAGAGGAGGCCAGCAGUGCUCGUGGAAUGGGAUUCAAACCACCUAGCUUCCCUCCCCACCCUAUUAACCCAGAAGGUGGCAGGCAUUCAGGAACCAAGGGGGCCCAUGUGGGGACCCAUGGGCUUCUUCUUUUCUCCCAUGGGAAUUCAUCCCCGCCCUUUUCCUGUGUGCAUCCUGACUUCCUGGAUGUGGUCCCCCAUGUGUUCUGGGUUGAGUGAUCAAAGCCUGGGCUUUUCACUGUCCUGGCCAUGGCAGCUGUCACCCCACUGUUCCUGGCAAUGAUGAUGCUGGCCAUGCUCUGUUUCUGGGAGAGGGCUUCACCUUCCCAUGGGUGUGAAGCUCCCCACUUGGAGUCUCCACAAAGAUGUCCAGGCAUGAGUCAGUGAUGGAAAGCCCAGGUUGGCCAAGCUGCAGCAGGAGAAAAGGGCACAGUGCAAAUGAGGAUUGUGGUGCUCAUUUUACAACCUUAGUUGGUGCUCUGUGUUGGGUUAGAAGUCAUCGCUCCAAACUCCCUUUCCAACGCUCAAGAAAGCCUGGUCCUGUUGUCCUUUCUCCAGACGAAGAGCUUCAGCAAGAGGAGAGAGCCGGCCGAAAUUUGCCACCUCUGGUGGGGUUCCGUCGGGCAGAUGGUGCCACGUCGCUGUAUGACCCAGCCUCGUCAAGCUGGCGGCCGAUGAAAGUUAUCUGGCGGGCCUUCUUUUGUUGGUGAGAUUUGAAGACAGUUUGGGAUUUUUGGCUCCCCACAAAUUGGCUACACAUCUAGGACUGCAGGAAAAAAACUGAGCUAUUUAUAUAGUCUCCCUCUAUCUUGAAAGGAAUUUAUGUAUGCACUUGUGUUUUGGACAUUUCUUUAAAAAUAAUCAGCAGGCAUUAUUUUCUUUGCAAGUAGUGAGGUCUUUGGUAUAUUUUCCUUUCAUUGAUUUAAGAAUAGCUAGUUUAAUGGUUAAUUUAAUGACUAUCGAUUGACAUGGGGAAUAGGACAAUGCUUCUGAUUAUACAGGAUUUAAUGUUUUAGGGAGAGACAGAAAAUAAAAAUAGUCACUUAAGAUGGGGUGUUCUGGUUCAAAAGGGGGAGCAUGAGUCUUGGCGUCUGGGUACAAGUGCAGGCCUCACCCGGGAGCAAUUCUGCUCUGAGUCUGUGUCACGAAGAAAGCAGUCACAUGAGAGGCACAUGGACCAACAUGGCUGUGGCAGGACUGUGUGCGGGAGGCAGGAGGGAGAGUUUUGUUACUGAUAUGAAGUCAUACGUGAGCUGUGAAGGGUUCUGUGGGAUUUUAACACCCCGCUGCCCCCAUCAGUUCUCCAGCCCCAGGAGAAGCUCCCUUGGGAGGAGGGAGCCAGGCAAUGUCAACCAAACCCCUUUGAAGGUUGUAGAAAAUGAUGAGUAGACACAAAGAUGGACAUGAAUCUGGUUCUACAAACUAAGGAAGGUGCCAUGUGCUGCCAAGGAGACAAAUUUCCUCCAGUAGUGAGGAUUUCUUGGUUUGGUCAGUGUCUUAGUUACUUUUCUCUCUUUGCUGAGACAAAAUACCCAACACCUAAAGUUAAAGGAG